GACGAACGCUGGCGGCGUGCCUAAUACAUGCAAGUCGAACGCUUCUUUCCUCCCGAGUGCUUGCACUCAAUUGGAAAGAGGAGUGGCGGACGGGUGAGUAACACGUGGGUAACCUACCCAUCAGAGGGGGAUAACACUUGGAAACAGGUGCUAAUACCGCAUAACAGUUUAUGCCGCAUGGCAUAAGAGUGAAAGGCGCUUUCGGGUGUCGCUGAUGGAUGGACCCGCGGUGCAUUAGCUAGUUGGUGAGGUAACGGCUCACCAAGGCCACGAUGCAUAGCCGACCGGAGAGGGUGAUCGGCCACACUGGGACUGAGACACGGACCAGACUCCUACGGGAGGCAGCAGUAGGGAAUCUUCGGCAAUGGACGAAAGUCUGACCGAGCAACGCCGCGUGAGUGAAGAAGGUUUUCGGAUCGUAAAACUCUGUUGUUAGAGAAGAACAAGGACGUUAGUAACUGAACGUCCCCUGACGGUAUCUAACCAGAAAGACACGGCUAACUACGUG
rnacentral:rRNA from 1 species